GCUUCUCGCAAAAAGGCAGGCCGGAGCGCAACCAGCUCGGCUCGUUUUGUGAAACGCCUCGCUUCUCCACCGACCCCCCCUCCCUUCUCCACCCACCCCGAAGACUCCUCUGGCUUCUCCUUGCCCCACCAGCCUCGCUCUUUGGGUAGUAGCGCUUACAGGCCGGCCGAGUGACGGACUUGAAGGGCGGGGAGGCGGGCUGGGGUUUCAAACGACGCCCACCAGGGGCUCAGCGAGCCUCUUCCAGUGCGCAGACUCGGGGCAUCGGAUAAAAGCCGGGCUGGCAGCUCUCAGCCUGCCUUGAUGGAGCCGAGGCAGUUGAGUGGCGGAGCAAGGAGAUUCAAGCGCCAGCGUGGCCAAGCCUUAAGAAUACCUGCCCUCCCCCCCACACCCUCCUUCUCUUCCCCCCCCCCCUUCCCGUCACAACGAGUCUCGGCUGAGACACAAAGCCUGAAGGAAGGAAGGAGGCUGAGGUGAAAAAGAGGCUCGCUGUGCCUGACUGGAACCUAGACGAAGCGGCUGUAAAGGGGGCACUAAGGGAUUGUGUUCCUCGAGAUAUGGACUAUCGUAUUUGGACCAUCAUUUGUAUGGACUGCCUACCAGAUAGAUAGACCCAGCACAAGUGGAAGGUUGUAGGAGAAUAGAAAGCACUGGCUCCUUCCUGCCUAGCUUACCCCAGAAAUCUCUACCUUUUCUCUUGAGUGUGUAGGUGGUGUUUUUUUAUUUUGCUUUAAAUGAGCAAGUUCUCUAGAGCAACUGCAGUAGAUAGUACUAAUGAUCACAAGUAGGAGAGGGGAACACACAACACACCGUUGGUAACAAUAACUGUAUUUUAGUCAAGUGACUGUCUUGACCUACUAUAUGACAUCUCUUAACUUGUAACAAGUAUAAGCGGCUGGCUCCCAUGCAUGUACGACUUUGAUUAAGUUGCAGUCCGUGAUCUCCCGGCAAAUAAUCAGUGAAAACCAGCAGGUAAUAAAAACUUAGCCGGACUGAAGUGGAAUUUUUUAUAAAACAACAUAAGGCAAAACUCUGGGCAGCUGCUGAAGCCAAAAACAAGCUGUUCUUGCAGAGUUGGUUGCCUAUAGCAAAGAAACAAAGAAACAAGUGACAAGAUGGCCUCUUUGUGCAGACUUCCUUUUGUUGAGUGAAAAUACACAAAGUAUGCCUUCCAGACAUAGCAGGGUGAGAGAUUGCACGGAGAAAACAAGCAGCAGGUUGCCUUGAUUGUAUGAACCAAUUGCAAGACACAUGAAUGAAAGAAGUCCAUAUCUUCUAUGAUGAAUCUACAAUUAAGUUAAAGAAGUCAUGUGAGGGGAAUGCUAGCUUCACUCAACAACCAGAGACUGAUGGAUUCCUCAAACUGAACUGGGAACCAGAGGUAUUUGCAGCACCGAAGAAGUCUGGGAAUGUCUUUUGCCAGUUGAACCAGCCUGAGUUUUUCUUCCUCCUCUGUAGUUAAAACUUGUGGACAAGUUUUGUGGGUGUGGUCAAGGCUUUUUCAGCUCCCUGAAAAGGAUCCACUUUUGGAAUUUCACUGUAAAUUUCUAAAUUGUUGUUUAAGUUACAUGGGUUGUGUUUUUUUGUAUGCAUAUCUUGUUAGAAUCUGAGUUGGAGAGAAACAAACAAAUCAGGCAGACAGGUAGUCAUGGCAUCUCUAUGGUUGUGCCCACCCUCCAAAUCCAACCUUCCCAUGACCCUUGAAGCCGUCUCUUACUGAUGGUAACCAGACAAACAGGCAUGGACACUGGAGCCUGCAGUUAAGGAAUUACACAUCUCAUGUUUGUGAUUGUUUUCAAACAACACCACAGCAGACAUCUUUUUGGUGCACCACUAAUUUCAGCUGUCACUUAUGUGCAGAGGUACAUCUACCCAUAUCAAGAAUGUAAAUUCAAAAAAUUUAAGGACAGACCAUUAAAGCCUAUCAGACAAAAAACAAACAAAUAUUUAAAUAAAGUAUUUAUUUAGAAGAAGAGUGUGGAUUUACAUCCUACCUUUCUCUCCUGUAAGGAGACUCAAGGCAGCUUAAAAACUCUUUCCCCUUCU